UGAGUAAACGUGGGUAACCUGCGUGUAAGAAUGGGAUAACUCCGGGAAACCGGGGCUAAUACCGGAUGGUUGUUUGAACCGCAUGGUUCAAACAUAAAAGGUGGCUUCGGCUACCACUUACAGAUGGACCCGCGGCGCAUUAGCUAGUUGGUGAGGUAACGGCUCACCAAGGCAACGAUGCGUAGCCGACCUGAGAGGGUGAUCGGCCACACUGGGACUGAGACACGGCCCAGACUCCUACGGGAGGCAGCAGUAGGGAAUCUUCCGCAAUGGACGAAAGUCUGACGGAGCAACGCCGCGUGAGUGAUGAAGGUUUUCGGAUCGUAAAGCUCUGUUGUUAGGGAAGAACAAGUACCGUUCGAAUAGGGCGGUACCUUGACGGUACCUAACCAGAAAGCCACGGCUAACUACGUGCCAGCAGCCGCGGUAAUACGUAGGUGGCAAGCGUUGUCCGGAAUUAUUGGGCGUAAAGGGCUCGCAGGCGGUUUCUUAAGUCUGAUGUGAAAGCCCCCGGCUCAACCGGGGAGGGUCAUUGGAAACUGGGGAACUUGAGUGCAGAAGAGGAGAGUGGAAUUCCACGUGUAGCGGUGAAAUGCGUAGAGAUGUGGAGGAACACCAGUGGCGAAGGCGACUCUCUGGUCUGUAACUGACGCUGAGGAGCGAAAGCGUGGGGAGCGAACAGGAUUAGAUACCCUGGUAGUCCACGCCGUAAACGAUGAGUGCUAAGUGUUAGGGGGUUUCCGCCCCUUAGUGCUGCAGCUAACGCAUUAAGCACUCCGCCUGGGGAGUACGGUCGCAAGACUGAAACUCAAAGGAAUUGACGGGGGCCCGCACAAGCGGUGGAACAUGUGGUUUAAUUCGAAACAACGCGAACAACCUUACCAGGUCUUGACAUCCUCUGACAAUCCUAGAGAUAGGACGUCCCCUUCGGGGGCAGAGUGACAGGUGGUGCAUGGUUGUCGUCAGCUCCUGUCAUGAAAUGUUGGGUUAAGUCCCGCAACAACCGCAACCCUUGAUCUUAGUUGCCAUCAUUCAGUUUGGCACUCCUAAGGUGACUGCCCGUGACAACCCGCAGGAAGGAUGGGGAUGACGUCCAAUCCUCCUGCCCCCUUAGGACCUGGCCUAC
rnacentral:rRNA from 1 species